rnacentral:snRNA from 1 species
GUGCUAGCUUCGGCAGCACAUAUACUAAAAUUGGAACGAUACAGAGAAGAAUAGCAUGGCCCCUGCGCAAGGAUGACACGCAAAAUAUACAAUGGGGCAAAAAAGUAUU